UCUUCCCUCUGGCGGCGUGCCUAAUACAUGCAAGUCGAGCGAACAGACGAGGAGAUUGCUCCUCUGACGUUAGCGGCGGACGGGUGAGUAACACGUGGAUAACCUACCUAUAAGACUGGGAUAACUUCGGGAAACCGGAGCUAAUACCGGAUAAUAUAUUGAACAGCAUGGUUCAAUAGUGAAAGACGGUUUUGCUGUCACUUAUAGAUGGAUCCGCGCCGCAUUAGCUAGUUGGUAAGGUAACGGCUUACCAAGGCAACGAUGCGUAGCCGACCUGAGAGGGUGAUCGGCCACACUGGAACUGAGACACGGUCCAGACUCCUACGGGAGGCAGCAGUAGGGAAUCUUCCGCAAUGGGCGAAAGCCUGACGGAGCAACGCCGCGUGAGUGAUGAAGGUCUUCGGAUCGUAAAACUCUGUUAUUAGGGAAGAACAAAUGUGUAAGUAACUAUGCACGUCUUGACGGUACCUAAUCAGAAAGCCACGGCUAACUACGUG
rnacentral:rRNA from 1 species